AUUGAACGCUGGCGGAAUGCUUUACACAUGCAAGUCGAACGGCAGCACGGGGGCAACCCUGGUGGCGAGUGGCGAACGGGUGAGUAAUACAUCGGAACGUGCCCGGUCGUGGGGGAUAACGUAGCGAAAGUUACGCUAAUACCGCAUACGAUCUGAGGAUGAAAGCGGGGGACCUUCGGGCCUCGCGCGAUCGGAGCGGCCGAUGUCAGAUUAGGUAGUUGGUGGGGUAAAGGCCUACCAAGCCGACGAUCUGUAGCUGGUCUGAGAGGACGACCAGCCACACUGGGACUGAGACACGGCCCAGACUCCUACGGGAGGCUGCAGUGGGGAAUUUUGGACAAUGGGCGCAAGCCUGAUCCAGCCAUUCCGCGUGCAGGACGAAGGCCUUCGGGUUGUAAACCGCUUUUGUAUGGAACGAAAAGGCUCUGGCUAAUACCUGGGGCUCAUGACGGUACCGUAAGAAUAAGCACCGGCUAACUACGUG
rnacentral:rRNA from 1 species